rnacentral:rRNA from 1 species
CCUGCUGUAGCGCCACUGACGCUGAUGCUCGAAAGCGUGGGUAUCGAACAGGAUUAGAUACCCUGGUAGUCCACGCGGUAAACGAUGGAUGCUCGCUGUGUGCCUAUUAGGUACGUGGCCAAGGGAAACCAUUAAGCAUCCCACCUGGGGAGUACGCCGGCAACGGUGAAACUCAAAGGAAUUGACGGGGGCCCGCACAAGCGGAGGAACAUGUGGUUUAAUUCGAUGAUACGCGAGGAACCUUACCCGGGCUUGAACUGCCAGCGUACGAUUCAGAGAUGAUGAGGCCCUUCGGGGCGCUGGUGGAGGUGCUGCAUGGUUGUCGUCAGCUCGUGCCGUGAGGUGUCGGCUUAAGUGCCAUAACGAGCGCAACCCCUUUCGUCAGUUGCCAUCAGGUAAAGCUGGGCACUCUGGCGACACUGCCACCGUAAGGUGUGAGGAAGGUGGGGAUGACGUCAAAUCAGCACGGCCCUUACGUCCGGGGCUACACACGUGUUACAAUGGCGCAUACAGAGAGUCGGUCCUGCGCAAGCAGGGUCUAAUCAUGAAAGUGCGUCGUAGUUCGGACUGGGGUCUGCAACCCGACCCCACGAAGCUGGA